GUGUACGGCCAUAGCACCCUGAACACGCCCAAUCUUGUCUGGUCUCGGAAGCUAAGCAGGGUCGGGCUUGGUUAGUACUUGGAUGGGUGAAAACAUUCUUUCUAAGCUCAGGAAUAUAGUAUGUGUCUAUA
ensembl:rRNA 5S_rRNA 5S ribosomal RNA